GACGAACGCUGGCGGCGUGCCUAAUACAUGCGAGUUGAGCGCUGAAGGUUGGUACUUGUACCGACUGGAUGAGCAGCGAACGGGUGAGUAACGCGUGGGGAAUCUGCCUUUGAGCGGGGGACAACAUUUGGAAACGAAUGCUAAUACCGCAUAAAAACUUUAAACACAAGUUUUAAGUUUGAAAGAUGCAAUUGCAUCGCUCAAAGAUGAUCCCGCGUUGUAUUAGCUAGUUGGUGAGGUAAAGGCUCACCAAGGCGAUGAUACAUAGCCGACCUGAGAGGGUGAUCGGCCACAUUGGGACUGAGACACGGCCCAAACUCCUACGGGAGGCAGCAGUAGGGAAUCUUCGGCAAUGGACGAAAGUCUGACCGAGCAACGCCGCGUGAGUGAAGAAGGUUUUCGGAUCGUAAAACUCUGUUGGUAGAGAAGAACGUUGGUGAGAGUGGAAAGCUCAUCAAGUGACGGUAACUACCCAGAAAGGGACGGCUAACUACGUG
rnacentral:rRNA from 1 species